rnacentral:rRNA from 1 species
CGCCUGUUUAUCAAAAACAUGUCUUUUUGUUAAUUAUUUAAGGUGUGGCCUGCUCCAUGAGACAUUAAAUAGCCGCAGUAUUUUGACUGCGCAAAGGUAGCAUAAUCACUAGCUUUUUAAUUGAAAGCAGGAAUGAAGGGUCGGAUGAGAAAGUUUCUGUCUCAAUAGUAUUCUAUUUGAAUUUUAUUUUUAAGUUAAAAAGCUUAAAUGACAUAAGAAGACGAGAAGACCCUAUAGAGUUUAAUAGGUUUAUAUCAUAACUAUUUCCUAGUUGUUAAUUUGGUUAUUUUCUAGUAUAUUUGGUUGGGGUGACUUAGAAUUGGAAAAAACUUCUUCAUUUAUUAACAUUGAUUACAAUGAAUAGUUGAUCCUAUCAUUUGGAUUAUAAGAAUAAAUUACCCUAGGGAUAACAGCGUAAUUUUUUUGGAGAGUUCUUAUCGAUAAAAGGGAUUGCGACCUCGAUGUUGGAUUAAAGUUUAAUUUUGGUGCAAAGGCUAGAAAUUUAAGUCUGUUCGACGAUUAAAAGUCCUCGUGAUCUGAGUUCAGACCGG